CUGCCAAGGGCAUGGCUGGGUAGCUAUGUACGGAAUGGAUAAGCGCUGAAAGCAUCUAAGCGCGAAGCCAACUUAAAGAUAAGAUUUCCCACCGCAAGGGUAAGACCCCAGAAAGACUAACUGGUUGAUAGGUCGAAGGUGUAAGUGCAGCAAUGUAUCUAGCUUAUCGAUACUAAUAGGUCGAGGACUUGACCAAU
rnacentral:rRNA from 1 species